CCUACGGGUGGCAGCAGUGGGGAAUAUUGCACAAUGGGGGAAACCCUGAUGCAGCGACGCCGCGUGAGUGCAGAAGUAUCUCGGUACGUAAAGCUCUAUCAGCAGGGAAGAAAAUGACGGUACCUGACUAAGAAGCCCCGGCUAACUACGUGCCAGCAGCCGUGGUAAUACGUAGGGGGCAAGCGUUAUCCGGAUUUACUGGGUGUAAAGGGAGCGUAGACGGCAGCACAAGUCUGGAGUGAAAUCCCGGGGCUUAACCCCGGAACUGCUUUGGCAACGGUGCGGCUGGAGUGCAGGAGGGGUGAGCGGAAGUCCGAGUGUAGCGGUGAAAUGCGAAGAUAUUAGGAGGAACACCGGUGGCGAGGGCGGCUUACUGGACUGUAACUGACGUGAGGCUCGAAAGCGUGGGGAGCAAACAGGAUUAGAUACCCCUGUAGUC
rnacentral:rRNA from 1 species